UCUCGUUGGCAAAAAAGUGUUGAUUGU
rnacentral:piRNA from 1 species